GACGAACGCUGGCGGCGUGCUUAACACAUGCAAGUCGAGCGGUAAGGCUCCUUCGGGAGUACACGAGCGGCGAACGGGUGAGUAACACGUGAGUAAUCUGCCCUUCACUUCGGGAUAACCACCGGAAACGGUGGCUAAUACCGAAUACGACCAGUCUUCGCAUGAGGUGCUGGUGGAAAGUCUUUUCGGUGAAGGAUGUGCUCGCGGCCUAUCAGCUUGUUGGUGGGGUAAUGGCCUACCAAGGCUUCGACGGGCAGCCGGCCUGAGAGGGUGACCGGCCACACUGGGACUGAGACACGGCCCAGACUCCUACGGGAGGCAGCAGUGGGGAAUAUUGGACAAUGGGCGAAAGCCUGAUCCAGCAACGCCGCGUGAGGGAUGACGGCCUUCGGGUUGUAAACCUCUUUCAGUACCGACGAAGCGCCCUGUCGGGUGGUGACGGUAGGUACAGAAGAAGGACCGGCCAACUACGUG
rnacentral:rRNA from 1 species